UCCCACUACAACAUUUAAAAUGGCAGCUAAUGUCAGGGGACACCCUGGGUGUUCAGGAGCUGGCUAAAGCUGAAGUUCUCUUACUCUUUGGUUAAGGGCACCACUUUCGGAUAAAAACAUAGACCUGAAUGGCAUCAUCCAGUAUCCAAGGAAACCGGGUAACAUGAACAACCAGUUUGUUUGAACAACUAGAACAUGUUAAAUUCAAACCUUCCUAUGGAUUAGCUCUUUCCCCACCUCUGGUUGAAA